rnacentral:rRNA from 1 species
AUUGAACGCUGGUGGCAGGCCUAACACAUGCAAGUCGAACGAGUGGCGGACGGGUGAGUAAUGUCUGGGAAACUGCCCGAUGGAGGGGGAUAACUACUGGAAACGGUAGCUAAUACCGCAUACAUUCGGAUUGGCCCGGAUGGGAUUGGCUAGUGGGUGGGGUAACGGCUCACCUAGGCGACGAUCCCUAGCUGGGUUGAGAGGAUGACCAGCCACACUGGAACUGAGACACGGUCCAGACUCCUACGGGAGGCAGCAGUGGGGAAUAUUGCACAAUGGGCGCAAGCCUGAUGCAGCCAUGCCGCGUGUAUGAAGAAGGCCUUCGGGUUGUAAAGUACUUUCAGCGGGGAGGCGUUACCCGCAGAAGAAGCACCGGCUAACUCCGUGCCAGCAGCCGCGGUAAUAC